UGGGGCGUCGCCAAGUGGUAAGGCAGCGGCCUUUGGAGCCGCCACUCGUUGGUUCGAAUCCAACCGCCCCAGCCA
rnacentral:tRNA from 1 species